UACAGAGGGGGCCAGCGUUAUUCGGAAUUAUUGGGCGUAAAGGGCGCGUAGGCGGUCAGCACAAGUCAGUUGUGAAAUCUCCGGGCUUAACUCGGAAAGGUCAACUGAUACUGUGCGACUAGAGUGCAGAAGGGGCAACUGGAAUUCUCGGUGUAGCGGUGAAAUGCGUAGAUAUCGAGAGGAACACCUGCGGCGAAGGCGGGUUGCUGGGCUGACACUGACGCUGAUGCGCGAAAGCCAGGGGAGCGAACGGG
rnacentral:rRNA from 1 species